CAGCCGCCGCGGGAACACGAAGGGUGCAAGCGUUAAUCGGAAUUACUGGGCGUAAAGCGCGCGUAGGUGGUUUGGUAAGAUGGAUGUGAAAUCCCCGGGCUCAACCUGGGAACUGCAUCCAUAACUGCCUGACUAGAGUACGGUAGAGGGUGGUGGAAUUUCCUGUGUAGCGGUGAAAUGCGUAGAUAUAGGAAGGAACACCAGUGGCGAAGGCGACCACCUGGACUGAUACUGACACUGAGGUGCGAAAGCGUGGGGAGCAAACAGGAUUAGAUACCCCGGUAGUCCCUGUCUCUUAUAC
rnacentral:rRNA from 1 species